rnacentral:rRNA from 1 species
UACGGAAGGCAGCAGGGGGAAUAUUGCACAAUGGGCGCAAGCCUGAUGCAGCCAUGCCGCGUGUAUGAAGAAGGCCUUCGGGUUGUAAAGUACUUUCAGUCGUGAGGAAGGUGUUAAGGUUAAUAACCUUAGCAAUUGACGUUAGCGACAGAAGAAGCACCGGCUAACUCCGUGCCAGCAGCCGCGGUAAUACGGAGGGUGCGAGCGUUAAUCGGAAUUACUGGGCGUAAAGGGCACGCAGGCGGUUAAUUAAGUUGGAUGUGAAAUCCCCGGGCUUAACCUGGGAAUGGCAUUCAAGACUGGUUAGCUAGAGUCUUGUAGAGGGGGUAGAAUUCCAUGUGUAGCGGUGAAAUGCGUAGAGAUGUGGAGGAAUACCGGUGGCGAAGGCGGCCCCUGGACAAAGGCUGACGCUCAUGUGCGAAAGCGUGGGGAGCGAAACAGGGAUUAGAUACC